GACGAACGCUGGCGGCGUGCUUAACACAUGCAAGUCGAACGGAAAGGCCCUGCUUUUGUGGGGUGCUCGAGUGGCGAACGGGUGAGUAACACGUGAGUAACCUGCCCUUGACUUUGGGAUAACUUCAGGAAACUGGGGCUAAUACCGGAUAGGAGCUCCUGCUGCAUGGUGGGGGUUGGAAAGUUUCGGCGGUUGGGGAUGGACUCGCGGCUUAUCAGCUUGUUGGUGGGGUAGUGGCUUACCAAGGCUUUGACGGGUAGCCGGCCUGAGAGGGUGACCGGCCACAUUGGGACGGAGAUACUGCCCAGACUCCGACGGGAGGCAGCAGUGGGGAAUAUUGCACAAUGGGCGGAAGCCUGAUGCAGCAACGCCGCGUGCGGGAUGACGGCCUUCGGGUUGUAAACCGCUUUCGCCUGUGACGAAGCGUGAGGGACGGUAAUGGGUAAAGAAGCACCGGCUAACUACGU
rnacentral:rRNA from 1 species